rnacentral:rRNA from 1 species
GAUGAACGCUGGCGGCGUGCCUAAUACAUGCAAGUCGAGCGAACGGACGAGAAGCUUGCUUCUCUGAUGUUAGCGGCGGACGGGUGAGUAACACGUGGAUAACCUACCUAUAAGACUGGGAUAACUUCGGGAAACCGGAGCUAAUACCGGAUAAUAUUUUGAACCGCAUGGUUCAAAAGUGAAAGACGGUCUUGCUGUCACUUAUAGAUGGAUCCGCGCUGCAUUAGCUAGUUGGUAAGGUAACGGCUUACCAAGGCAACGAUGCAUAGCCGACCUGAGAGGGUGAUCGGACAGACUGGAACUGAGACACGGUCCCGACUCCGACGGGAGGCAGCAGUAGAGAAUCUUCCGCAAUGGACGAAAGCCUGACGGAGCAACACCGCGUGAGUGAUGAAGGUCUUCGGAUCGUAAAACUCUGUUAUUAGGGAAGAACAUAUGUGUAAGUAACUGUGCACAUCUUGACGGUACCUAAUCAGAAAGCCACGGCUAACUACGUG